AGAAGUCCAUACCGCGGCAGGAACUACCGGAGGUAUACCCCCUCUGCUAAACCUUGGUUCAUUGAGGUACUGCUAUAUAAAGACUAAUUGUUCAUUCUAUUUCGUUUCAUUAAACAGCCGAUCACCUAUCAGAAGAUCAAGGACUUGAAGACCUUUAGGAGACCGUCUUUCUCGACCACGAGUUGGUUUAGUUGCUACUCAAUGUAAAAAAAGGUCUCAUUGUUAGAUGCAGUUUCCCUCCCCCAUCUAUAUGAUAUAUUUGUAAACAUGAUCUUUGGAUUAUCUGACUAUAUUGUUAGCUAUGUUGUUACUUUCAAUUGCUCAGAAAUGAUGCUGAAAAUGGUUGCCCGAGUCUUUGGCUGUUAUGUACUCCGGAAUUCAGAGUCGAAAAGGGAUCAUUUUGAUGUUUCAAUUUUCAAUGAGCCAAUAAGUCGUUCAAUUUGUCAUGGAUGGUUAGUACUUGUGGCCUCAACUAGCCAACAAUAGCUUCAUCGAGUGAAAUUCACAGACGCUCUAUGUCUCGAUUUGGUUUGAUUUCUGGUUUUUACUCAGCCUGACACUCUCUUCCCGACUGGCUAACUUGUGAAACGUCCGUUUAUGAGCUCAAGUAUGACAAUGCCCCAUCGAUCAAACCGACUUCAACAAUAUUAUGGCUGUCCAAUCUCGAAACUCAUUUAUAUCUUACGAACUUGCUGAGUGGUUUCCGAUAUUCGUAGUUUCAACUAGUCCACAUGUUCAUCCACUUUGUCAAUUAGGGUGAUGAUUCAAUGAUCAAACCAAUAUUAAUCAUCAAAAACAACAUUGCGUAGAUCAUAUGACUAGCAGCUUACACAAUUGACAAUUCAGUUGAAUAAUACAGACGGAAGAAUAUCAGAGGGAAGACCUGCGGAGCUCGAAAUCAAUGGCCUUCUCAAGCCAAGCUUCGGCGUCACGCAUCAUCCCAGGGCUCAACCUAACCAUCAGAAUACAGAAUUCCGUCUCGUUAAGCGCGCCGUCGCCGUCGAGAUCCCCUUCUUUGACCAUAGCCUCCGCGUCUUCCUUAGUCAUCCCUUCCAUCCCUAGGAACCCUGAGUUCCUCCUCAGACUCUCCGGCGUAAUCGCCGCCUGUUCCCCGUCGGACAGCAGCUGGAAUCCGCC
rnacentral:lncRNA from 1 species